CCCUUAGAUGUUCUGGGCCGCACGCGCGCUACACUGACCAGUGCAACAAGCAUCCGUCCUUGGCCGAUAGGUCUGGGUAAUCUUUGAACGCUGUUCGUGAUUGGGAUAGACCUUUGCAAUUAUGGGUCUUCAACGAGGAAUUCCUAGUAAACGCAAGUCAUCAGCUUGCAUUGAUUACGUCCCUGCCCUUUGUACACACCGCCCGUCGCACCUACCGAUUGAAUGGUCCGGUGAAAUCUCGGGACGGCGGCUUGGUCGCUUGCGUCCGACUGCUGAAACUUGAUUAAACCAUAUCAUUUAGAGGAAGGUGAAGUCGUAACA
rnacentral:rRNA from 1 species